GAUGAACGCUGGCGGCGUGCCUAACACAUGCAAGUCGAACGGAAAGACCAUGCGCUUGUGCCUUUCACGGUAGCGGCGGGCGGGAGAGUAACGCGUGUAUCACCCCCUUAUAAUACGGGGAUCAUUACGAAACACCGGAGAUAAUCCCAUAGAAUCUCUUGCACCGCGUGGUGCAAUGGUAAAUGUCGGUUUUUGUGUAUCUACUCGCUGCAUCUGGGCCUGAUUAGCUAGUUGGUAAGGUAACAGCCUAUCAAGGCGACUAUGCGUAGCCGAGCUGAUAGGGGGAUCGGCCACAUGGGAACGUGGACACGGUCCAGACGCCUACGGGAGGCAGCAGUAGGGAAUGUUCGGCAGUGGGCGGAAGCAUGACGCAGCGAGGCCGCGUGAGUGAUGAAGGCGUUCGGAUCGUAAAGCCCGGUUUUGGGGGAAGAACAGCUGUCGAAUGAGACGUGGCGGGCUUGACGGUACCUAAUAAAAAAGCACCGGCUAACUACGUG
rnacentral:rRNA from 1 species